AUUGAACGCUGGCGGCAUGCUUUACACAUGCAAGUCGAACGGUAACAGGCCGCAAGGUGCUGACGAGUGGCGCACGGGUGAGUAAUGCAUCGGAACGUGCCCAGUCGUGGGGGAUAACUACUCGAAAGAGUAGCUAAUACCGCAUACGAUCUAUGGAUGAAAGCGGGGGACCGUAAGGCCUCGCGCGAUUGGAGCGGCCGAUGUCCGAUUAGGUAGUUGGUGGGGUAAAGGCUCACCAAGCCAACGAUCUGUAGCUGGUCUGAGAGGACGACCAGCCACACUGGGACUGAGACACGGCCCAGACUCCUACGGGAGGCAGCAGUGGGGAAUUUUGGACAAUGGGCGCAAGCCUGAUCCAGCAAUGCCGCGUGCAGGAAGAAGGCCUUCGGGUUGUAAACUGCUUUUGUACGGAACGAAACGGCUCUGGUUAAUACCCGGGGCUAAUGACGGUACCGGAAGAAUAAGCACCGGCUAACUACGUG
rnacentral:rRNA from 1 species